rnacentral:misc_RNA from 1 species
AACCUAGCACACCUGCGGUGUGUACCUGCGGAAGGAUCAUUAACAAGCUGUGGGAGAUCAAUUUGAUCUCACACCUGGCCAACCUUGUUAACCUUAAAUAUAUUGCUUUGGUGAGCCCUGCUCACCAAAGUCAAACCCUAAACUCUUGAUUGUUUCUGCUGUCUGAGCAUGCAAGUGCAAAAUUUAGUUAAAAACUUUCAGCAACGGAUCU